CCAGACUCCUACGGGAGGCAGCAGUGGGGAAUCUUCCGCAAUGGACGAAAGUCUGACGGAGCAACGCCGCGUGAGUGAUGACGGCCUUCGGGUUGUAAAGCUCUGUUAAUCGGGACGAAAGGCCUUCUUGCGAAUAGUGAGAAGGAUUGACGGUACCGGAAUAGAAAGCCACGGCUAACUACGUGCCAGCAGCCGCGGUAAUACGUAGGUGGCAAGCGUUGUCCGGAAUUAUUGGGCGUAAAGCGCGCGCAGGCGGAUAGGUCAGUCUGUCUUAAAAGUUCGGGGCUUAACCCCGUGAUGGGAUGGAAACUGCCAAUCUAGAGUAUCGGAGAGGAAAGUGGAAUUCCUAGUGUAGCGGUGAAAUGCGUAGAUAUUAGGAAGAACACCAGUGGCGAAGGCGACUUUCUGGACGAAAACUGACGCUGAGGCGCGAAAGCCAGGGGAGCGAACGGGAUUAGAUACCCCGGUAGUCCUGGCUGUAAACGAUGGGUACUAGGUGUAGGAGGUAUCGACCCCUUCUGUGCCGGAGUUAACGCAAUAAGUACCCCGCCUGGGGAGUACGACCGCA
rnacentral:rRNA from 1 species